rnacentral:misc_RNA from 1 species
CAGAGCCAGCGAAUGCAGAGCACAAGAUCCAAGAAACACAACUGCAAAAGCGAGGAUCGGAGCACUCCGAUCCUUAAUUCCUUCUUGGAUUCUCUUCUACUCUAGAGCUCUGCUAGACCGAUCUCCAGUUAAGUUUCAGACACAUGGAGAGCAACGCCUCGUCCAACUGCGCCACCGUGCCGCAGCCGCCGCCGUCGACAGGGAAGCUGAUCACGAUUCUGAGCAUCGAUGGUGGCGGCAUCCGCGGCCUCAUCCCAGCCACCAUCAUCGCGCACCUCGAGGCCAAGCUGCAGGAGCUGGACGGCCCAGAUGCUCGGAUCGCCGACUACUUCGACGUGAUCGCCGGGACGAGCACCGGCGCCCUUCUCACGUCGAUGCUGGCGGCGCCGGACCAGAACAACCGGCCGCUGUUCUUCGCAAAGGACCUCAACACGUUCUACCUCGAGAACGGGCCCAAGAUCUUCCCUCAGAAAAAGGCCGGGUUCCUGACGCCGGUGGCGAACCUGCUGGGCCUGGUGAGGGGUCCCAAGUACGACGGCGUGUUCCUGCACGACAAGAUCAAGAGCCUGACGCACGACGUGAGGGUGGCGGACACGGUGACCAACGUCAUCGUGCCGGCGUUCGACGUCAAGUACCUGCAGCCCAUCAUCUUCUCCACGUACGAGGCCAAGAACGACACCCUCAAGAACGCGCACCUCUCCGACAUCUGCAUCAGCACGUCGGCGGCGCCCACCUACUUCCCGGCACACUUCUUCAAGACGGAGGCCACCGACGGCAGGUCCCGCGAGUUCCACCUCGUCGACGGCGGCGUCGCGGCCAACAACCCCACCAUGGUCGCCAUGUCCAUGCUCACCAAGGAGGUGCUCCGCCGGAACCCGGACUUCAACGCCGGCAGGCCCACCGAGUACACCAACUACCUCAUCAUCUCCGUGGGGACCGGCUCGGCCAAGCAGGCGGAGAAGUACACCGCGCCGCAGUGCGCGAAAUGGGGCCUCUUUCAGUGGCUAUACAACGGCGGCUUCACCCCGAUCAUCGACAUCUUCUCCCACGCCAGCUCCGACAUGGUCGACAUCCAUGCUGCCGUGCUCUUCCAGGCCCUCCACUGUGAGAAGAACUACCUUCGCAUUCAGGUACAGUGUAUGUACAGGAUACAUGAAAACAUCUAACAUGGACAUACUAAAGCAAAAAACAAAAAUGUUCUUCAUAUAAAACGGAUGACGACCAUUGAUGGCUGCUAUUAUAUUGGACGCCUGUGUGUGUAGGAUGAUACUCUGAUUGGGAACACAUCAUCAGUGGACAUCGCGACCAAGGAGAACAUGGAGUCUCUGAUCGGGAUCGGCCAGGACCUGCUCAAGAAGCCAGUGGCCAGAGUGAACAUCGACACAGGUGUGUACGAGCCCUGCUCCGGCGAGG